rnacentral:tRNA from 1 species
CAAGGGAUAGUUUAUGAAAAAUUUUAGUUUUGGAGACUAAUGAAAAGAUUAGAAUCUUUCUCUUGA